GAUCAUGGCUCAGGAUGAACGCUAGCUAUAGGCUUAACACAUGCAAGUCGAGGGGCAGCAUGAACUUAGCUUGCUAAGUUUGAUGGCGACCGGCGCACGGGUGAGUAACACGUAUCCAACCUGCCGAUGACUCGGGGAUAGCCUUUCGAAAGAAAGAUUAAUACCCGAUGGCAUAGUUCUUCCGCAUGGUAGAACUAUUAAAGAAUUUCGGUCAUCGAUAGGGAUGCGUUCCA
rnacentral:rRNA from 1 species